AUUUCUAAAAAUUUAUCGGAAUCGCUUGAAACUCGUUACCCGGGGGUUUUUGGUGUCGCUGAUUACGAAUGCGAGGCUCGUUUUUAAAAAUUCAAAAUGGCGGAUCCAAUAUGGCG